rnacentral:rRNA from 1 species
UACGUAGGUGGCAAGCGUUGUCCGGAUUUAUUGGGUUUAAAGGGUGCGUAGGCGGUCUUUUUAAGUCAGUGCUGAAAUAUCCCGGCUUAACCGGGAGGGUGGCAUUGAUACUGAAGGACUUGAGUACAGUCGAGGUAGGCGGAAUUGACGGUGUAGCGGUGAAAUGCUUAGAUAUCGUCAAGAACACCGAUAGUGUAGACAGCUUACUAGGCUGAAAACUGACGCUGAGGCACGAAAGUGUGGGGGAUCAAAACAGG